AGUGAACGCUGGCGGUAGGCCUAACACAUGCAAGUCGAACGGCAGCACAGUAAGAGCUUGCUCUUACGGGUGGCGAGUGGCGGACGGGUGAGGAAUACAUCGGAAUCUACUUUUUCGUGGGGGAUAACGUAGGGAAACUUACGCUAAUACCGCAUACGACCUACGGGUGAAAGCAGGGGAUCUUCGGACCUUGCGCGAUUGAAUGAGCCGAUGUCGGAUUAGCUAGUUGGCGGGGUAAAGGCCCACCAAGGCGACGAUCCGUAGCUGGUCUGAGAGGAUGAUCCGGCACAAUUGAAAUGAGACACGGUCCAGACUCCUACGGGAGGCAGCAGUGGGGAAUUUUGGACAAUGGGCGGAAGCCUGAACCAGCCAAUCCGCGUGGGUGAAGAAGGCCUUCGGGUUUGAAAACCCUUUUUUUGGGGAAGAAAAGGCGGAGGUUUAAACCCCCGCUUUUUGACGGUACCCAAAGAAAAAGCCACGGCUAACUUCGUG
rnacentral:rRNA from 1 species